GUACUUGAAAUAUUGACUGAAAACCACAUAAAAAAAUUAUUUAAAAAUUUCACUGUUGGUGAGCAAGCUAUUUUUGAAAAUAAUCUUAAAAGAUGGAAAAAUGCAGAGAAACCUAUAGCAGAUACCAGCUUUAACUCAUUGCGCUCGAUAGAAGACUUGCCUAUUAACACCAAAAUUCCAUCCCUUAUAUCGAUUUUAAAAGACACUGAGACUGGUAAGCAAAUUCAAAAAAAACACAUUGGCAAAGUAUUUAGAUUUGAAAGGAUUCAACUGUACAAUUUCUGAUUGCUCAAAUAUAGAAUUUCAAAUUUGUUCAAUAUUUCCAACGGAAUAAUUGCAAGCGGGGAAAGCUGUACAAUAAAAUACACAACAUUAAACGAUAUAACAAAAUAUUGAAAGACGUUGAAAAAUAAAAUUCAAUAGAUGAAAGUAAAGAACACGAUCCGGAAUCUGAUUGGAAACAGUGUUUAAACCUUUUAAAAAGUGGAUACUUAUCUCCGAAAGAAUUUGACCUAUACUGAAGAAAAUGUGCUUACUACAGAUUUUAACAAAUGAAAGAGAAGAAAAGUACAUUGGAAAUAUUGAAGAAGUGACCGGAAUAUAAAAAAACUUCAGGAUAUAAAUUAAUAUCAAUAGUCUUUCAACUAAAGUUUCCAAAGGCUAAAGAAUUAAAAACUAAAUGGGCAGAUUACGAGGGAAAGUUGUUUAGUUUGUUGCGGAAUAAAGUCGUUUUUAUUCAGUUUCCUUUUAAUUUUAGACACAAAAAUAUUUUGAACGUUUUGGUUUCUUCAUCAUAUAUUUUCACCGCCAUUAAGUGUAACAAUGGAGCCAAACAACGAAAAAAAUUCUCGAUUAUAGAUUCUCAAGAAUCAUUUGCUAUAAUUGGCAAAAGUUUCAAAGAGCCGGAAACAAAAUUGAAUUUGCUGAAGCUCCUGUCAAUAAGUAUACAGCCAUUACUUUUAGUGUUAGGUGAUUAAGAAGAUAUCAAAAAUAUUUCGAUAUAUUUUGAUGGAAUAAGGUAUCCCAUGAUGACUACCUUAACUACUGUAGAUAUUUUAUUCAAAAUAAUGUUUGUUUUUAAUCUACAGUUUCCAAAACAAUCACAAAUAUUUUAUACAUUUAUUCAAAUAUUCUUUUUUGAAAUGCCCACGGACAAAAAAAAAAAAUAAAACUUGCUAGUUUUAUAAGUCAAUUACUUAACUAUUUUUAUACCCUUCACUUUCGUGAGAAGGGUAUAUAUAAGUUUGUCAUUCCGUUUGUAAUUUCUAUAAUAUAAU